rnacentral:rRNA from 1 species
AUUGAACGCUAGCGGGAUGCUUUACACAUGCAAGUCGAACGAGUGGCGGACGGGUGAGUAAUGUCUGGGAAACUGCCUGAUGGAGGGGGAUAACUACUGGAAACGGUAGCUAAUACCGCAUACCAUCGGAUGUGCCCAGAUGGGAUUAGCUUGUUGGUGGGGUAACGGCUCACCAGGGCGACGAUCCCUAGCUGGUCUGCGAGGAUGACAAGCCACACUGGAGCUGAGACACGGUCCAGACUCCUACGGGAGGCAGCAGGGGGGAAUAUUGCACAAUGGGCGAAAGCCUGAUGCAGCCAUGCCGCGUGUAUGAAGAAGGCCUUCGGGUUGUAAAGUACUUUCAGCGGGGAGGCGUUACCCGCAGAAGAAGCACCGGCUAACUCCGUGCCAGCAGCCGCGGUAAUAC